rnacentral:lncRNA from 1 species
GUAAAGUAUUUAGAGCUUCUAAUUCCACUUUUCCUUAAGGGAGGAUGAACUCUGUAGCAAUUACCUUGUGACUUCUGAGGAUCACCUUUGGAAGGCUUGGUGUUACGAACAUUGGGAUAAGAAUUUUACAAAACAUCAAAAAGAUUAUAAUAUUAAGAGCAGAAGCCUUGAUUUAUUUAUCAAAGAAACCCCAGUAAUUAACACAGUCUGACUUUAAAGGACCUCUUUCAAAUCAUCAGCACCUUCAGAAUUUUUCUUCUGAGCCAUAGAGAACAAAAAUUGUGAAUUAGCACUUUCUCUAACCUUAUUAAAGAAGAGCACAGGCAGCAGUGAUCCAUACACUCAGGUAAGAUUCCAGUCUCAGUGUGUAGGGAACACACUAAACACCAGUUGUUUCCUGGACUGGCUAAUGUUCUCCAGUUUCUCUUCUGUCCUGGUU